rnacentral:rRNA from 1 species
GACGGAGGAGGCAAGCGUUAUCCGGAGUUAUUGGGCGUAAAGCGUCCGCAGGUGGCGAUUCAAGUCUGCUGUCAAAGGUCGGGGCUUAACCCCGGGAAGGCAGUGGAAACUGAAUAGCUAGAGUGCGGUAGGGGCAGAGGGAAUUCCCGGUGUAGCGGUGAAAUGCGUAGAGAUCGGGAAGAACACCAGUGGCGAAAGCGCUCUGCUGGGCAUGCACUGACACUGAGGGGGGAAAGUUCGGGGGGCGCAAGGG